rnacentral:rRNA from 1 species
GACGAACGCUGGCGGCGUGCUUAACACACGCAAGUCGAACGGAAAGGCCUCUGCUUGCAGGGGUGCUCGAGUGGCGAACGGGUGAGUAACACGUGGGUGAUCUGCCUUGUACUCUGGGAUAAGCUUGGGAAACUGGGUCUAAUACCGGAUAGGAACUGCCUUUAGUGUGGUGGUUGGAAAGUUUUUUCGGUGCAAGAUGAGCUCGCGGCCUAUCAGCUUGUUGGUGGGGUAAUGGCCUACCAAGGCGUCGACGGGUAGCCGGCCUGAGAGGGUGUACGGCCACAUUGGGACUGAGAUACGGCCCAGACUCCUACGGGAGGCAGCAGUGGGGAAUAUUGCACAAUGGGCGGAAGCCUGAUGCAGCGACGCCGCGUGGGGGAUGACGGCCUUCGGGUUGUAAACUCCUUUCGACAGGGACGAAGCUUUUUGUGACGGUACCUGUAUAAGAAGCACCGGCUAACUACGUGCCAGCAGCCGCGGUAAUACGUAGGGUGCGAGCGUUGUCCGGAGUUACUGGGCGUAAAGAGCUCGUAGGUGGUUUGUCGCGUCGUCUGUGAAAUUCCGGGGCUUAACUCCGGGCGUGCAGGCGAUACGGGCAUAACUUGAGUGCUGUAGGGGAGACUGGAAUUCCUGGUGUAGCGGUGAAAUGCGCAGAUAUCAGGAGGAACACCGAUGGCGAAGGCAGGUCUCUGGGCAGUUACUGACGCUGAGGAGCGAAAGCAUGGGUAGCGAACAGGAUUAGAUACCCUGGUAGUCCAUGCCGUAAACGGUGGGCGCUAGGUGUAGGGGGCUUCCACGUCUUCUGUGCCGUAGCUAACGCAUUAAGCGCCCCGCCUGGGGAGUACGGCCGCAAGGCUAAAACUCAAAGGAAUUGACGGGGGCCCGCACAAGCGGCGGAGCAUGUGGAUUAAUUCGAUGCAACGCGAAGAACCUUACCUGGGCUUGACAUACACCAGAUCGCUGCAGAGAUGUAGUUUCCCUUGUGGUUGGUGUACAGGUGGUGCAUGGUUGUCGUCAGCUCGUGUCGUGAGAUGUUGGGUUAGGUCCCGCAACGAGCGCAACCCUUGUCUUAUGUUGCCAGCAUUUUAGUUGGGGACUCAUGAGAGACUGCCGGGGUUAACUCGGGGGAAGGUGGGGAUGACGUCAAAUCAUCAUGCCCCUUAUGUCCAGGGCUUCACACAUGCUACAAUGGUCGGUACAACGCGCAGCGACGCUGUGAGGUGGAGCGAAUCGCUGAAAGCCGGUCUUAGUUCGGAUUGGGGUCUGCAACUCGACCCCAUGAAGUCGGAGUCGCUAGUAAUCGUAGAUCAGCAAUGCUGCGGUGAAUACGUUCCCGGGCCU